rnacentral:rRNA from 1 species
AUUGAACGCUGGCGGAAUGCUUUACACAUGCAAGUCGAGCGGCAGCGCGGGGCAACCUGGCGGCGAGCGGCGAACGGGUGAGUAAUGCAUCGGAACAUGUCCAGUGUCGGUGGGGGAGUAGCCCGGCCGAAAGCCGGAUUAAUACCGCAUAUGCCCGAGGAAGGGGAAAGGCCGGGACCGGCAAGGCCUGGCGCGAUUGGGUUGGCCGAUGUCCGAUUAGCUAGUUGGUAGGGAAU